rnacentral:lncRNA from 1 species
GUGUGUACUGCAAUGAGCAUGGAGAAAAGAUAGAAAAACAGAGAAUUAUCUGAGGUCAGACACAAGAUUGUAGCCAAGCAUGUCAAGGCCUCAAGUCCAUCUCCAGAGACCUUGAUGUUCCUGUUUCCAACGUACAUAAUGUUAUCAAGAAGUUUAAAUUAAGGCCCAUGCCACUGUAGCCAACCUCCCUGGAUGUGGCCGCAAGAGAGCUUGAUGGACGGUUGCAGCGAAGGAUUGUUCGAAUGCUGGAGAAAGUACCUCGAUCAACUGCCACACAGAUUCAAGCUGACCUUCAGACACAAGAUUAUUCGAAAGGGUCUUCGUCGAGGAAAACUCAAGACUCUGCUGUGCUACUUCCGAAGAGUGACACAGUCCACCAACUCCCAGACAACUUUUCCAGACAACUCCCCUGAAGCCUGUGUGUGUCAUUGAGCAAAAAAACGACACAUUCGUGUUCGUGAGAACCUCUCCUUUCAAGUCUCUCCAGUGUGCAAAGCUGUCAUCAAGGCAAAAGGGGAUUUGGAAUAAGACGGUGGAGACGGAGUAGGCUACGAUUCUCAGCAGCAGAUAUUCGUUUUUUUCUUACAUUUAGUUAUGUUUAGGGCUGUUGGUAGGCCUAACAGUCAUCUCAGUCAUUUUUUAAAAUUAAACCUUGUAUUUUUCAAUAAAUAAUGUUAUUUUUUAAUCACAUGCAUUAUUUGGUCUUUGU